AAAAAGACCAUGAAGGGAAAAAGACCUUCGCCCGUUUUUCAGAGAGCCCGCGGCUGGUGUGAGCGGGCAAAGCGGCAGAGGUGGAUAGCUCAUCCCGGAGUCGCCGUCCCGAUGAGGGGCGGACGUGUGGUGCACGUUAGCGCGCCGGGCCUUGUUAGAGGCCUGUAAAGGGCGGCAGCUUGCCGCCGAAUCAGGGUGGUACCGCGUGGAAGUUUUCCUCGCCCCUGCG
rnacentral:ncRNA from 1 species